CCCUAUAACAAGCCCAUGAGGUAGAUAUUAUUAUGUCAAUGUCACUUUUUUUUUUUUAACAUACACAGAAACUGAGAUACAGAAAUUAAGGACAUUUCUUAAGGCAUCACAGAUAGAAAGUGGCUGAACUGGAAUUUCAAGCCCAAAUGCCUGUCUCCAGGGUUCCUGCACUUUACCACUUCAAGUCUGUCCACACUCCCGCUGAGUCAUCUCACAGCCACUCCUCCAACUGACCUCCUCUGCUUCAAAAUGUUGAGAUCCCACCUGGAAGUUAUGAAAUACUUGCAGGUAGAGAUUAAACAAGGUGUCUCUGGAGGGUAUGACGGAUGUGCUGUGAACGUCUCUCCACCACAUGGGAAGCUUGACAACUGUCUCAUACAGAUGGAGCUUGAUGUGUGCUUCAAAAGUAAUCUACAGGCAACAGCGUAGCUGAAAAUCCUUGGCAGGGGAAGAGCUUCUUUACAAUUCGACUACAUUUCCCAGCUACCCUGAAAUUAGACAUGUUCAUGUGACUGAUUUGGGCCAAAGAAAUACAGGCAGAAAUGAUGAGUGCCACUUCUAGGAUUGGCCCCUAACAGUCUCCCUCAAGGAAUUCUUCCAUUCUUCUCUAUCUGCUGGCCAGAGGCAGAUGCUCAGGAAGACCUUAGAAAAUGUGACUGGAAGAUGACAGCCCAAGGCCCUGAGUGACUGCAAGGAAUGGAUCUACCCUCUCCUUUACUGCAGACUGUAUUUUAUGAGUAAAAAAUAAACUUCCAUUGUUAAGCCCUUGAGAUUUUGAUGUUUACCUAUAAUAGAGGUUAGUAUUUCCUUAACUAGGAACUGUAUUCAUUUAAUUAAUUUAUUUAUUUUUUUGAGACAGAGUCUCCCUCUGUCACCCAGGCUGGAGUGCAAUGGCGCGAUCUCGGCUCACUGCAACCUCUGCCUCCCAGGUUCAAGCGAUUCUCCUGCCUCAGUCUCCCAGGUAGCUAGGAUUACAGGCGUGUGCCACCACGCCCAGCUAAUUAUUGUAUUUUUAAUAGAGACAACGUUUUGCCAUGUUGGCCAGGAUGGUCUCAAACUCCUGAAUCUCAAGUGAUCCGCCUGCCCAAAGUGCUGUGAUUACAGGCUUGAGCCACCAUGCCCAGCCGGUAUAUUCAUUUCAGAAUUUAUCUUGGAUAUCUUUUCUAUCCAGUACCUCAUUCCUCUUAAUUGCAACACAAUGUUCCACAAUAUAGACAUACCAUCAUUUACAUUACUAUUUUCCUGUUUCCAACUUUUUGCUAUUAAAAUGUUGCAAAUAAUACCUCUGUCUAGACCUCUUUAUAUAGUUGUUUCUUCACAUCUAAAGCAGAUAUAAAGAAAUGGAAUCACUUGAACAAACAGUAGGUUCAUGCUCAAUUGUUGCUGAUACUGCCAAUUUGUGUUCCAAAAUGUCUGUAUGAUUUAUUCUACCAUCAGCUGUGUAUAAGAGUACCUGUUUCCCUGGUCUUCUGCCAAUUUCAAUAAUGAGAAUAAUAAUAUUUCGAAAAACAUUAAGC
rnacentral:lncRNA from 1 species